rnacentral:rRNA from 1 species
UUAAGUUAUUAAGGGCGCACGGUGGAUGCCUUGGCACUAGAAGCCGAUGAAGGACGUUACUAACAACGAUAUGCUUUGGGGAGCUGUAAGUAAGCUUUGAUCCAGAGAUUUCCGAAUGGGGAAACCCAGCAUGAGUUAUGUCAUGUUAUCGAUAUGUGAAUACAUAGCAUAUCAGAAGGCACACCCGGAGAACUGAAACAUCUUAGUACCCGGAGGAAGAGAAAGAAAAUUCGAUUCCCUUAGUAGCGGCGAGCGAAACGGGAAGAGCCCAAACCAACAAGCUUGCUUGUUGGGGUUGUAGGACACUCUAUACGGAGUUACAAAGGACGACAUUAGACGAAUCAUCUGGAAAGAUGAAUCAAAGAAGGUAAUAAUCCUGUAGUCGAAAAUGUUGUCUCUCUUGAGUGGAUCCUGAGUACGACGGAGCACGUGAAAUUCCGUCGGAAUCUGGGAGGACCAUCUCCUAAGGCUAAAUACUCUCUAGUGACCGAUAGUGAACCAGUACCGUGAGGGAAAGGUGAAAAGCACCCCGGAAGGGGAGUGAAAUAGAACCUGAAACCGUGUGCUUACAAGUAGUCAGAGCCCGUUAAUGGGUGAUGGCGUGCCUUUUGUAGAAUGAACCGGCGAGUUACGAUUUGAUGCAAGGUUAAGCAGUAAAUGUGGAGCCGUAGCGAAAGCGAGUCUGAAUAGGGCGUUUAGUAUUUGGUCGUAGACCCGAAACCAGGUGAUCUACCCUUGGUCAGGUUGAAGUUCAGGUAACACUGAAUGGAGGACCGAACCGACUUACGUUGAAAAGUGAGCGGAUGAACUGAGGGUAGCGGAGAAAUUCCAAUCGAACCUGGAGAUAGCUGGUUCUCUCCGAAAUAGCUUUAGGGCUAGCCUCAAGUGAUGAUUAUUGGAGGUAGAGCACUGUUUGGACGAGGGGCCCCUCUCGGGUUACCGAAUUCAGACAAACUCCGAAUGCCAAUUAAUUUAACUUGGGAGUCAGAACAUGGGUGAUAAGGUCCAUGUUCGAAAGGGAAACAGCCCAGACCACCAGCUAAGGUCCCAAAAUAUAUGUUAAGUGGAAAAGGAUGUGGCGUUGCCCAGACAACUAGGAUGUUGGCUUAGAAGCAGCCAUCAUUUAAAGAGUGCGUAAUAGCUCACUAGUCGAGUGACACUGCGCCGAAAAUGUACCGGGGCUAAACAUAUUACCGAAGCUGUGGAUUGUCCUUUGGACAAUGGUAGGAGAGCGUUCUAAGGGCGUUGAAGCAUGAUCGUAAGGACAUGUGGAGCGCUUAGAAGUGAGAAUGCCGGUGUGAGUAGCGAAAGACGGGUGAGAAUCCCGUCCACCGAUUGACUAAGGUUUCCAGAGGAAGGCUCGUCCGCUCUGGGUUAGUCGGGUCCUAAGCUGAGGCCGACAGGCGUAGGCGAUGGAUAACAGGUUGAUAUUCCUGUACCACCUAUAAUCGUUUUAAUCGAUGGGGGGACGCAGUAGGAUAGGCGAAGCGUGCGAUUGGAUUGCACGUCUAAGCAGUAAGGCUGAGUAUUAGGCAAAUCCGGUACUCGUUAAGGCUGAGCUGUGAUGGGGAGAAGACAUUGUGUCUUCGAGUCGUUGAUUUCACACUGCCGAGAAAAGCCUCUAGAUAGAAAAUAGGUGCCCGUACCGCAAACCGACACAGGUAGUCAAGAUGAGAAUUCUAAGGUGAGCGAGCGAACUCUCGUUAAGGAACUCGGCAAAAUGACCCCGUAACUUCGGGAGAAGGGGUGCUCUUUAGGGUUAACGCCCAGAAGAGCCGCAGUGAAUAGGCCCAAGCGACUGUUUAUCAAAAACACAGGUCUCUGCUAAACCGUAAGGUGAUGUAUAGGGGCUGACGCCUGCCCGGUGCUGGAAGGUUAAGAGGAGUGGUUAGCUUCUGCGAAGCUACGAAUCGAAGCCCCAGUAAACGGCGGCCGUAACUAUAACGGUCCUAAGGUAGCGAAAUUCCUUGUCGGGUAAGUUCCGACCCGCACGAAAGGCGUAACGAUUUGGGCACUGUCUCAACGAGAGACUCGGUGAAAUCAUAGUACCUGUGAAGAUGCAGGUUACCCGCGACAGGACGGAAAGACCCCGUGGAGCUUUACUGUAGCCUGAUAUUGAAAUUCGGCACAGCUUGUACAGGAUAGGUAGGAGCCUUUGAAACGUGAGCGCUAGCUUACGUGGAGGCGCUGGUGGGAUACUACCCUAGCUGUGUUGGCUUUCUAACCCGCACCACUUAUCGUGGUGGGAGACAGUGUCAGGCGGGCAGUUUGACUGGGGCGGUCGCCUCCUAAAAGGUAACGGAGGCGCUCAAAGGUU